ensembl:misc_RNA Metazoa_SRP Metazoan signal recognition particle RNA
GCCAGGCGCGGUGGUGCUUGCCUGUAGUCACAGCUACUUGGGAGGCUGAGGUGGGAGGAUUGCUUGAACCCAGGAGUUCUGGCUGUAGUGUGCUAUGCUGAUUGGGUGUCCACACUAAGUUCAGCAUCAGUAUGGUGACCUCCCAGGAGCAUGGGACCACCGAGUUGUCUAAGGAGGGGUGAACUGGCCCAGGUUGGAAACAGAGCAGGUCAAAGAUCCUGUGCUGAUCAGUAGUGGGAUCGUGCCUGUGAAUAGCCACUGCACUCCAGCCUGGGCGACACAGUGAGACCCUGUCUCAA